rnacentral:misc_RNA from 1 species
GCAGAGUUCAUAAGAAUAUGGCUCUUGGAGAACAAGUGGCAAGGCUAGGUCUUGAGCUUGAUCCGUCGGAUCCUGCAUUCUAUACGCAGCUUGCAAAUUUGUAUAAAAACUGUGGGCGGUCAGAUUUGAGUGAAAAGACUCGGUUGUUGACCAAAGACAGAGGGUUGAACAACAUUGUGUACGCUUAGAAGAAAUGAAAGCAACAAUUACUCUUUCUACACAGGAGAUAGAUCAUGUCCCACAUUCAUGAGAUUUAUUGGAAUUAUUUUACGAGAGAGUUUAAGGAUCAGGGAUAUCAAGGUAAUGAAGAUUUGUUUUACCAGUGGGAACAUAGUUGUUGCUCUUGGUCUUUGACAAUUA